CAGUGAUCCGUAAAAGUGAGCUGCGAUGCCUCUGCUAGGAUGGAGGUGGGCAAGCUCCUCCCUGGAGGGCAGACGGUAUGUGUUUUGGGCUUUGCUGGCCACAUGGUCUCUGCUGUGACUACCCUGUACUCAGCUCUGCCAUUGUGGCAGCAGAGCAGCCAUAGACCUUCUGUUAGUGAAUGAGUAUGACUGUGUCCUAAUGAAACUUUAUUGACGAAAGCAGGUGGAGGGCCAGCCUAAGGGCAAAGGGCUGAAAUCUGUAGGUCUCUGUUCUAGACCAGUGACUCUCUGAAGAGGAAAUGGGGCAUGGGGAGUGGGGACAGUGUGUGGGGGAAGGGGUGGCACACAGGCAUGUGGGAAUGGCAUGGACAUGGAGAACACUGGAGGUGGGGAGGAGCUGGAGAAGCUGAACUCUGACACUGGCCCCUGGGCGACACUAGGUCUCUCCACAGCCUCCUCUCUUAGCCUCUCCCUCCAGUUUCAAAAUGACUACUCCUCUGAGGGGACUCAGGCUCCUCACCUGGUUCCCCAGUUCCCACCGGAAAGCCUGAGUGGGUGUUCCAGCCUCUGCCCCACCAGGAACCCCUGGAAGGCAGCACCCCCAGGCAGGGACCUUUCCCCCCUGCCCCUCCCUCCUCCAGUUCUGGGUCCUGGCCAAGAGACAACUUCUCAGCUCAGAGGGACCUGACCAGGAAGGUCCAGGCCCCUCCACCCAGGAAGCCCCUGCAGGCGAGAGGGCGGCCCUCCCUCCUCCCUCGCCCUGUCAGUUUUUCUUUCUGAUAGAAACAGCAGCAACUCACACACAGAGGAGCUGGGCAGGUGAGUGGCCCGCAUGCUGGGCUGCAGAAAGCCGGGGCUACAGCCCAAGGCACCAGCUGGGCAGGGGGCUGCACAGCCUCAGCAGCAGCAAUUCCAAGCCCAGAAAGGCUGCAUGGCCAGGGAGAACAGAGGCCCCAGAAGGCUCUUCACCGCGGUCUCCACGAGAGAAAGUGUGGGCAGAAGCCAGCUCUGAAGCCCAGGCUGCCCAGCCAGCACUGGCAGAGCCGAGGGAGGAAGGCGGGGGCAAAGCUGCAUCUCCCUGUCUUGGACAUGAGCCCCGGAGAUCUGGAAGGAGGCAGAUAGGCCGGCGAAGCUGAGCAGCCCUGACCCCAGGGCCCCCCGUGCUCCUUGGAGAGUGGAUCAUUGCCAAGUCAUGACUCCCUGCUAUCGGGCACCGGACAUGGGCCAUGUGCUGGCAUCUGGCUGUUGCAGGACUGAACCCGCAGGUGGUGACUGCCUUUCAUGUGGUGACUGCCUUCUGGAGGCCUGGCUGGCUGACACUUUGCAUGGCUCCUAGAGAAGGGGGCUGUGAGUGGAGUCUACGGGUCACAGCCAUGUCCUGGGUGCCACGAGGCAGGGCCAGGCUGGGGUGGGGAGGGGCUGGAGACAGGCUCCUGCCAGUUCCGCCUCUCACUGGUGGUCUUCAUGCCUGGGAAGCCACUGGGGACUUGGGAAAAUGCAGGAGGCUGGGUCCUGCCUCAGGGUCUCUCACUCAGCAGGUCUGGGUGGGGUCCAAGACCGCACCCCUCACAGGUCCCAGGUGAGGCGGGUGUCCUUGGGCUCAGUCCGCCCAGCACCCAGGGCCCGGGUUGGGACAGAGCUGUGAUGCAGGCAGGCCGUUCCCCCUGUUUUCUGGGAACAUCACAUCAUCUUAGCUUGGAACCGCAGGCAUCCAGGAUUGUUAUUCACAUCCCUCCUCCAUGUUCUUCUUUUUGAUAACUUUCAUCAGGUUUGUCAGGAGCUGCGCUUCCACUAGGGAGGCCCAAGUGGAAAGCCUCUUCCUUGUCCUCCAGGAGAGAGGAAAACCUACAGUUACAAUUCCAGGGACAAGAGCGAUGCAUGUGAGGUGUGGCAAGUCUCACGGUUCAACCAGGGAAAUCAGAGAUGGCUUCCUGGAGGCAGUGACACCUGGACAGGCUUCUCCACUGAAGGAGGGAAGCGAGUGGGAGGAGCUGAGUGGGAGGAACCUAUCACUUAGUGGGAACUGCACAGGCAGAACCGACAACCACCCCCACCC